UGUCUCGUAGCUCAGUUGGUCAGAGCGCGCCCCUGAUAAGGGCGAGGUCAGUGGUUCAAAUCCACUCGAGACAACCA
rnacentral:tRNA from 2 species